AACGAACGCUGGCGGCAGGCUUAACACAUGCAAGUCGAGCGCCCCGCAAGGGGAGCGGCAGACGGGUGAGUAACGCGUGGGAAUCUACCCAUCCCUACGGAAUAGCUCCGGGAAACUGGAAUUAAUACCGUAUACGCACUACGGGGGAAAGAUUUAUCGGGGAUGGAUGAGCCCGCGUUGGAUUAGCUAGUUGGUGGGGUAAAGGCCUACCAAGGCGACGAUCCAUAGCUGGUCUGAAAGGAUGAUCAGCCACAUUGGGACUGAGACACGGCCCAAACUCCUACGGGAGGCAGCAGUGGGGAAUAUUGGACAAUGGGGGCAACCCUGAUCCAGCCAUGCCGCGUGAGUGAUAAAGGCCUUAGGGUUGUAAAGCUCUUUCACCGGGGAAGAUAAUGACGGUACCCGGAGAAGAAGCCCCGGCUAACUUCGUGCCAGCCGCCGCUGUAACAC
rnacentral:rRNA from 1 species